AUUGAACGCUGGCGGCAGGCCUAACACAUGCAAGUCGAACGAGUGGCGGACGGGUGAGUAAUGUCUGGGAAACUGCCUGAGGGAGGGGGAUAAGUACUGGAAACGGUAGCUAAUACCGCAUACCAUCAGAUGGGCCCAGUUGGGAUUAGGUAGUGGGGGGGGUAACGGCGCACAAAGGCGACGAUCCUUAGCUGGUCGGAGAGGAUGACCAGCCACACGGGAACUGAGACACGGUCCAGACUCCUACGGGAGGCAGCAGUGGGGAAUAUUGCACAAUGGGCGCAAGCCUGAUGCAGCCAUGCCGCGGGUAUGAAGAAGGCCUUCGGGUUGUAAAGUACUUUCAGCGGGGAGGCGUUACCCGCAUAAUAAGCACCGGCUAACUCCGUGCCAGCAGCCGCGGUAAUAC
rnacentral:rRNA from 1 species